GAAAAACACAAGGGGAAAGCGAUUUGAAUAUGAAUAUAUUUCCUUUCACUUUAUAUUUCCGCUCUACGUUUAACACAUUGAGCACCAAAUUGUCCAAAUCAUUAUCAUAUAUUUAAUUAAUUGUCUACAGUCUACUUACAGUAAUUGUUUUGGUAAAUGAUAGUAUUAUAUAUUUAAUCGUCUGUUUAAUAAUUGUUUUGAUAAUUUUCCUAGCCUGUGACUGUGUUAAUUAACACAGGCUAUAAUUUUCCAUGUUUUCCUCGACAUUUGAGAUAUCGCGAACAAUUAAAAUGCGCAAAUUAUGUUGGCACUGGCGUUUUUAAAUACGCAAGCCAAUUAUGUAUCUGCUUCCAAAACGGAACUGCGCAUUUCCAAAAUUCUGGUGAGAGAAUUGAAGGAUUAAAAACACUGUAGCACACGGGAGCUACAAUCUUGGAUAUAACUGAUUGAGACUUGACACCCCUUAUGAUAAAUUCCAAU